rnacentral:rRNA from 1 species
UCCACGCUGUAAACGAUGUGCACUAGGUGUUGGGUCUUAAGGCUCAGUGCCGUAGCUAACGCGUUAAGUGCACCGCCUGGGGAGUAUGCCCGCAAGGGUGAAACUCAAAGGAAUUGACGGGGGCCCGCACAAGCGGUGGAGCAUGUGGUUUAAUUCGAUGAUACGCGAGAAACCUUACCAGGGCUGUGACAUCCUGCGAAUCUCUUGGAAACUUGAGAGUGCCUUCGGGAACG